GAUAAUGGGAAAAAUUGUCACAAUAAUCAAAAGAGUACAAAUCAAUUGGCAACAAUAAUGCAAAAUUAAAUUACUAUAUUGAUCCAGGAAAGUGACACCCAAAAUCUGAAGAAGAAAGGUAUCCAAUCAUUCAUCAUCAGAAUAAUUGAACUUGACCGAAUGGGAAUGCAAAUCAAUCUGCCCUCCUCUGUAUGUCCCACGCUUCUUCUUUGUUUUUUCAUGCCUAAAAUCCCUUCCUCUAACUUGCCCAAGAAUUUCCUGUGCUUUUGCACCAUAACCAUCCUCAGCUCCAUCCUUUGCCCAAUAAGAAUUAUCCUUGAGCUUCUCAGCAGACAAAACCACCUCAUCAACUUUUAUUCUUUGAAAAUGCUUGACUGUCUUCGGCUCAGCAGAACCAUUCUGUUGCUUUUUCAUGGUCUUCUGACUGGAAAAUUCCUCUCCGUUUCCUUCAAGGCUCCCAUUUGACUGCCCAUUAAUCUGUUUAGAAUCACCCAAACCAGCUUGUCUGCUUUCUUCUUUCUGAACUUUUUCUUCUGUUGUUGUGACUGAAUGUAACUCCACAGAUUGUUCUUUUAUCUUGGGUUCUUCAAAACCUUCUUUCUUUCUACGUUUGGAUUCUCCUGCCUCUCUAUUUUUGGAUUCUUCAACUAGUUUUUCACCAGUAAAUUGAACAGCAUCUUCUUCAGAAGCCACUCUUUUUCUCUUCUUGGAAACUUUUUUCUCUUUGGAAGUCGCAUCCUCCUUUGGAGUCUGAAAAUCACUUUUUUCAGAAUCAAUUUUAUUUGGUUUUCCUUCAUCAAUUACAGGAUCAGAAGACAGUUUGUUUCUCUUUCUCUUCUUAUCCUUUGAUUUAUUUUCUGUCUCAGACUGAGGUAGUUUCUUACCAUCUGGAAACACUAGAUCCUUAGAUUUUUCUUCAACCACCCAAGGCAAUGAUUCUAAUGGACUAUUAUCAAUAAGAGAUGCUGAAUCAGAGGUGCAUUUCUU
rnacentral:misc_RNA from 1 species